GCCGGGCGUGGUGGCAUACGCCUUUAAUCCCAGCACUCGGGAGGC
rnacentral:SRP_RNA from 1 species